rnacentral:rRNA from 1 species
UACAGAGGUGGCAAGCGUUGUUCGGAAUUACUGGGCGUAAAGGGCGCGUAGGCGGUCCUACAAGUCCCGCGUGAAAGCCCCCGGCUCAACUGGGGAACUGCGUCCGAUACUGGCAGGCUUGAAUCCGGGAGAGGGAUGCGGAAUUCCAGGUGUAGCGGUGAAAUGCGUAGAUAUCUGGAGGAACACCGGUGGCGAAGGCGGCAUCCUGGACCGGCAUUGACGCUGAGGCGCGAAAGCCAGGGGAGCAAACGGG